AGUCUGAUGGAGCAUGCCGCGUGAGUGAAGAAGGGUUUCGGCUCGUAAAACUCUGUUGUUGAAGAAGAACGGGUGUCAGAGUAACUGUUGACAUCGUGACGGUAUUCAACCAGAAAGCCACGGCUAACUACGUGCCAGCAGCCGCGGUAAUACGUAGGUGGCAAGCGUUGUCCGGAUUUAUUGGGCGUAAAGCGAGCGCAGGCGGUUUUUUAAGUCUGAUGUGAAAGCCUUCGGCUUAACCGAAGAAGUGCAUCGGAAACUGGGAGACUUGAGUGCAGAAGAGGACAGUGGAACUCCAUGUGUAGCGGUGGAAUGCGUAGAUAUAUGGAAGAACACCAGUGGCGAAGGCGGCUGUCUAGUCUGUAACUGACGCUGAGGCUCGAAAGCAUGGGUAGCGAACAGGAUUAGAUACCCUGGUAGUCCAUGCCGUAAACGAUGAGUGCUAAGUGUUGGAGGGUUUCCGCCCUUCAGUGCUGCAGCUAACGCAUUAAGCACUCCGCCUGGGGAGUACGACCGCAAGGUUGAAACUCAAAGGAAUUGACGGGGGCCCGCACAAGCGGUGGAGCAUGUGGUUUAAUUCGAAGCUACGCGAAGAACCUUACCAGGUCUUGACAUCUUCUGCCAAUCUAAGAGAUUAGACGUUCCCUUCGGGGACAGAAUGACAGGUGGUGCAUGGUUGUCGUCAGCUCGUGUCGUGAGAUGUUGGGUUAAGUCCCGCAACGAGCGCAACCCUUAUUAUCAGUUGCCAGCAUUCAGUUGGGCACUCUGGUGAGACUGCCGGUGACAAACCGGAGGAAGGUGGGGAUGACGUCAAAUCAUCAUGCCCCUUAUGACCUGGGCUACACACGUGCUACAAUGGACGGUACAACGAGUCGCAAAGUCGCGAGGCUAAGCUAAUCUCUUAAAGCCGUUCUCAGUUCGGAUUGUACGCUGCAA
rnacentral:rRNA from 3 species